GUCGAACACACAUCCUCAUGGAUACUGAUCGGCUUCUUAACCGGUUGAGCCACACAGGAAGUCCUGGACUUUUUUAACGUGACAAGCUUCGCUAUACACACUUCGGCUAAAGCCGUGCUUGCUGGGCAAGUGCUGCCCACACCACUACUUACCCUCCCCUGGAGUGUUUCUCCACGAAAGGAGACACGCAAGAGCAAAACAGACACGAGGCCUGGACAGGAAGAGGCCCGUGAGUGCCCACGCAAGACGCUGGCAAAAGUCUGUACCUACCUGGUUCCUUCUGUCCCCAACAGGAAGGAAAAACUAGGACCCAGAAGCCAACAGCUUUAACUUCCACUGACCACAUCCAGGUAGAAGACAUAGUGGCAAGACCUCUGACUCCAGCUGCUGGUCAGCACAGAGCAGGGCCGGAACAUGUGCCUCAGCAGCCAGAACAGGCCCCUUAGGCGACCCAAGGCCACCUGGAGCAGAAAGCGGGUGACCAAGACUGCAUGGUGACAAAGAGAACGGAAGACAGGACGUUUCUGGAAAAGCAGCGUACGGGAGGGUAGUACCUGUACCAGAGUAAAGCCCAGAACCAUCACCACACAGAGGACGCUGGCACAGAGAGACAGACCAACAGGUCAGGACCGAAAAUCCGGGAACACACCCAAGUGAGCAUGAAAGUUCAGAAUGGAUAAAAACUGCCACUCCAGGCGCUGCAGGGAAACUCUUAACAACGGUUCUGAUGACACAGGUGACAGGCACAGGUGAGUGGGUGGAACUGGACCUCCAGGUCUGCACAUUCACUACAGAUUCUAAACUCGUCCGGAACGGAAACACAAGGACAUCUUCAUAAGCCCCAGAGGAAACAAGAGGAAGCUUCUUACACCCCCAGACUAAAAAGAAACCUCCCUGACAACCCAAACCCCCCAAGAUUAAUAAGUCUGACCACAACCAGAAUGAAACUUUCACACAGCAAAACACACUGAGAUCAAAACACAAACAGCACACGGAGAAACAUUACCCAGAACACACGUCACUGACGAAGGAGCCCUAACACCUCGAGCUCGGAGGGGGCUUUAACCGGACCGCAAAGAGCCGGAGAAAGGACAGCGCAGAGAAAAUCCCCUCCGACACUGAAAGCAGGCUCAACCUUCUCAUCAGAAAAAUGCCAAGUCAAAGUCUCCGUAGCUACUUCUCGGAGUGAAAAACCCAAGCAACUGUUACCCUCUGACCAGACGUUUCAUGUCUAGGAAAUCUAUCCAACGCACACUGGGGAAGAGAGGAAACAGCCGAAACACAAGGUGUGAGCUGGGACAGAAUGUCUGACAGCAAAAGCCUGGAAGCCACCCGGGCGCCCUUCAGGAGGAAGGCCUGACUAGUGAGCACACACCCGCGCAGCCCCGAGGGGAGCUACCACCUGCGUCCAUGCAGACAGCGCCAGACUCUGCAGGGAGAAACCAGCCAGAACCGAGCUGACAGCAAGUGACCUGGUGCUGAGGCUGCUUUUCUGUGCCCACGGCAGGCGGAAGCUCCCAGGCCAGGGACAGAACCUGUGCCACAGCAGUGACACAAACGUUGAGCCCACUAAGCUACCGGACGUCCUUUUGUUCUAUUCUCAAUCCGAACAACGGAUGAAGGCACCGAAGUCGAAGCAAGACGACCUAGCAGUGGAGGACAGGACGAGGGGGUCUCUGAACAGAGCGGACGUGGCUCUGACUUUGCAAACAUGAAAUGUUGAAGUACUUUUACAAAAUCUAAGACACUAAAAACAAAUGAACCCAACUCCACAUCAAGAUGACAGUAUAGGAGUUCCCGUCGUGGCACAGUGGUUAACGAAUCCGACUAGGAACCAUGAGGUUGCGGGUUCGGUCCCUGCCCUUGCUCAGUGGGUUAACGAUCCAGUGUUGCCGUGAGCUGUGGUGUAGGCUGCAGACGCGCCUCGGAUCCCACGUUGCUGUGGCUCUGGCGUAGGCCAGUGGCUACAGCUCCGACUCGACCCCUAGCCUGGGAACCUCCAUAUGCCCGGCCCAAGAAAUGGCAAAAAGACAAAAAACAACAACAACAAGAACAACAAAACAGCUAACAAACACAUCGGAAGAUCACAGAGACACUAAAAAGGUCCAUGGAUCGCUAGUAAAGACGCCAGAGCUCCAAUGCGGUCCACAAACUCAAGAGACGAGGAUCAGUUACCGACCCCGCACUUCCCACCCGAACGCAUUCCGGUCCUUCACAAGCACGCCACCGACUCAGGCGGGAGAGGCGGGAACGCCCUCUCUCGCCGCCUCCGGCGGACUCCGGCAGCGAGCGGAAAGGGCUGGCACAACCAGCAAGCAAGAGGUGGGCCAGGAGCUUCAUGGGGACGGACCUGGCUGAGGACCCCGGGCUCUACUGGUCCACCUCGGAGUCGGAGCCGAGCACCAAGCACCACCGGCAUAUUUUCCUGCCACUCACACAAGGUGAACGUGGACGGAACCCGGAGCUUAGCGCCGUCUGAUGGAUGGGGAACCAACCUACACCUGCCUGGUCCCCCAAAACACAUCAACGGCAGUAAGAAGGGGGCCCUGCUGAGGAGUGAACGCGCAGGCGGGUCUCACCGGGCCCGGAGGCAGCUCCACUGGGAAGGCCUGGCGCAGACGGGCUUGGGCGCGGGGAGGCUAACACACUCCCACUAGCCUUCCUUAGGCCGUGACCACCACAGAGGUUACGUUUAAUUCAAGCGGGGCCACAAGGGAACAGUUACGCAGAGGGACUAAGGUGUCUGGGGCUUGCUUUAAAGUAAUGGGGCGGGGCAGGGGGACUAGAAGGGGACAAAGGCCUCGGAUCUGUUCUCUCCCCGCCCGGGGCUCAAUCACAAAACAGUCAAACAUCCACUGACUAGAAGACAGCAGCAAAGGUCUGAGCGCGUCCUGCACAAGAGCUGGGCCGUGAGACCCCUUGGACACACCUCGCCUUCCCACCCUUAGACUACGGCCGC
rnacentral:lncRNA from 1 species